CAUGCCUACGGGACGCAGCAGUGAGGAAUAUUGGUCAAUGGUCGGGAGACUGAACCAGCCAAGCCGCGUGAGGGAUGAAGGUACAGAGUAUCGUAAACCUCUUUUGUCAGGGAACAAAGGCGGGGACGUGUCCCCGGAUGAGUGUACCUGAAGAAAAAGCAUCGGCUAACUCCGUGCCAGCAGCCGCGGUAAUACGGGGGAUGCGAGCGUUAUCCGGAUUUAUUGGGUUUAAUGGGUUCGCAGGCGGUCUGUUAAGGCAGCGGUCAAAGCCCGGGGCUCAUCCCCGGGCC
rnacentral:rRNA from 1 species